AGUUCUUGUCUUGUUGGUCUCGACAACUUCCCGGAGUGCUAUUUCUCGGUCGACGGGUUACGGGAAUGACUGCCCGGCACCCCAAGAUAAUUGCUGGUCCACCGUCCGACCAACCGACGAGCUGACAUGUCUCAAGGUAGCCCGCAGGUCUACAGAAGGAUUCACUGGCCAGCAAGAAUCCCAGUUGCGGAUGAAUUGGAGUACCGAUAUAUCCCAACAAAUAUCAAAUGUGACAUCAUCAUGAAAGCAAAAAAAAAAAGAGAAA